UGGAAAGAAAUGGUGGCGAAUUUUGUCUCGACGGCCGAUGGAGUUGGCGCUUGUUGUUUGCAACUCGCCUUUUGCGAAGGCUUGGUAACAGGAGAAGCGGAUCAAGAGCUGGAUCCUGGUGAAUCGUCGCCCAUACUUAAGAUGGCCUGGGAUCUUGAAAUGAAAGAGAAAGAAGAAGAAACGGAAAGCUGAAUUCUGUUUUCGUUAUAACUGCGUGAAAAUAACGGAUUUACUCUUAACGAAUCGACACAAGGACCUCUGCCGUCAAAACGAAAUCUUGAAACAUCGUCGCAUGUUUCUUGAACGCACAGUAUUAACGUGUAGUUUUUCCCACUUGAAAACGGUCAGGAAAGUCACGCAUUUCGUUCCGAUUACGCAAGAUAGGGAAAACGCCCUGAUUGUCAAAUAGAAAUAGGUUACACUCAGAGACUUUGAUCGGGAGGGAAACCGAAACUCGUAGCCAUAAAGGAUCUCUAUGCUCAAGCCGAACAGAAGUUUUACGCCCAACGUACUACCCCUCAGCUGAAGAACACCUCUUGUACACCUUUCUAUGGCAUAUGAAAUGGAAUCGUGGAAAACUAUCAUGAACUCCUGGUGAAAGUUUUAUCUAACUGGAAAGAGACUCCAGACUUCGCCAGUGUAGAAAUAGCUGGAUGUCUCAAGUUUAGCAUCAACUCCACAAUUUGGAAUUAUCGUCAUCUCCCUAAUAAUUUUACUUUUACGAACACUUGUGUUCUGAGAAAAUGCCACUCCACAGCACCACCGUGGAAGAUUGUCCGACCAAGGCAGCUCUACAGACAAAACAGUGUCGAAAAUGGAAACAAGUAAAAAAAUCUUUCUCUGCAUUUGCUUAUCGGCACUGCCAUCUUCGAAGAACCGGUUGACGAAAAUGGUGGCCCUAGUUUUGCAACGGAUUCAUCGUGGAAUGAAUGAUUAGAAGAACUCAUGCGUUUACCAGAAACUGGUCUGAAAGGCAUAUAAUUUCUAACCUUAUUUUUCAUCUCUAUUCUAUAAAUUAACCGUAGAUUGAAAAUAAUCGGUUUCGAAUUGACCUGCGACGAACUCGCCCUAAAAAAUUUGCGCAAAGUAAACCCUCUUAUUCAGAAACAAGUUUAGAUUUUGUUAAGGUGAAAAUCCUGAUUGAAAAUCAUUAGCACAUUUAGGGAGGUGAAGUAGUUUCCCGCGACAGGUUCCGUGAAUUUCCCCCUUUUGUCAUUUAUUGGCAUCUUCCAGUUGGGAAGUUAAGUGUCGAAGUGACUCACAAUAAUAGGCCCGUUUCAUUUAAUCCUACCGAAGGGAAGGGAACUCUAACUCAAACACAGAUAACCUGCACAGUCACAGGCAGGAAAAUAAUUCUUUUCUUCAGAAAAUUGUAAGUUUUUUUUUGUCUGGACCUUCCAUACCCCCAAUCUCAUCAGAUUUAUUCGUAUGUGAUGUGUAUCUGAUUAUUAAUUUCUCGUGAGUCGUGAACUCGUGUGAUGUUAAGCUUCGGAAACAGAGUUCGGAUUCGGAAAGCAAUCCAUCCGUUCCGUACAGUAAAAUGUGGUAAUCGUGAGGGAAUCUUUUGGCUGUCGGUACUCGGUAGGUAGCUAAAAUGGAUUGUCCCCCAUCCACCAGGUGGCGCAAGUUUCUUCGUGAGGACGAAAUACUUGCCAUUUGUUUCCGAGAC